AGCUUUGCACAGUGGCAGUAUUGUAGCCAAUGAGGUUUAUCCGAGGCAUGAUUAGUGCUAAUUGAAAAUUUUUCCAAAAAGGGACAAUUUACACAGAGAGAGAUUUC
rnacentral:snRNA from 1 species